rnacentral:lncRNA from 1 species
AAGUCGCGUGCUGAGGGGUGUGACGGUUUUCUUGCUCGUGGGCUCGGACGAGUACGGAGCGCCUGCAGGGACAGCCUGGAUAAAGGCUCACUGAUGGCUCAGUUGGGAGCAGUUGUGGCUGUGGCUUCCAGUUUCUUUUGUGCAUCUCUCUUCUCAGCUGUGCACAAGAUAGAAGAGGGACAUAUUGGGGUAUAUUACAGAGGCGGUGCCCUGCUGACUUCGACCAGCGGCCCUGGUUUCCAUCUCAUGCUCCCUUUCAUCACAUCAUAUAAGUCUGUGCAGGUAUGCUUGGCCUCUGUGGUAUGGCUGGACGACUGCAAACUUGGGCUGUUAACUAGUGCAUGAUUUGAAAUUAUUUAGCCAUUGGAUGAGUAAAAUGCCAUUCUAGAGAAUGAUAUAAGGAUAAUAUAUACAUAUUAUAUAUAUAUAAUAUAUAUAUAUAUACACACAUACACUAUAUAUAUAUAAAAUGAGGCUGGGGAUUAUUCCUUCAAGAUAAAGCCAGAGAAGAACCUGUUCUGAGUAUAUGGAAAGAAAAGUCAGGGUUUAU